rnacentral:rRNA from 1 species
ACGGGAGGCAGCAGUGGGGAAUAUUGGACAAUGGAGGCAACUCUGAUCCAGCGACGCCGCGUGAGUGAAGAAGUAUUUCGGUAUGUAAAGCUCUAUCAGCAGGGAAGAUGAUGACGGUACCUGACUAAGAAGCCCCGGCUAACUACGUGCCAGCAGCCGCGGUAAUACGUAGGGGGCAAGCGUUAUCCGGAUUUACUGGGUGUAAAGGGAGUGUAGGCGGCUGCGCAAGUCAGAAGUGAAAGCCCGGGGCUUAACCCCGGGACUGCUUUUGAAACUGCGUAGCUAGAGUGCAGGAGAGGCAAGCGGAAUUCCUAGUGUAGCGGUGAAAUGCGUAGAUAUUAGGAAGAACACCGGUGGCGAAGGCGGCUUGCUGGACUGAGACUGACGCUGAGGCUCGAAAGCGUGGGGAGCAAACAGGAUUAGAUACCCUGGUA